AUUUGAGUUAUUGGUCUCAUAUAUAUCAUUUUACAUAAUGUUUGAUUAUGUUGAUCAUAUGCGUUCAUAGAUCAUCUUGAUUGUACUAAUUCGGUACAUGAUUUGUAGUGUUGAUGUAAUUCCUUUAUCUAUAGCGUUUUGGUUUUGUUAUAUUUGGAAUUGGUCCUUGACGUUAUGGUUUAGCUCUUUCUGAUUCAAUUUUCAUUCUCAAAUCCAAUUUACUGAUUUUGAAGAGAAAUUAGAUUGACAUCUCAGUUGGUUAAACCUCGUUUUGUUCUUCUUCUCGUUACGAUAAACCCUAAUCAAUCAAAACACUCCACGAAUUCAAAAAAAAAAAUGUUGUGGAUUCCACCACUAAGGAUAAACACAAAAAGAAGGAAAAAAGGAAGAGCAACUCGGGAGAUGGAAGAGGGAAACAUGGGAUCUGAGUAACUGUGGGAGAGGCAACUGGCUGGGAGACACAUCGUUGACAAACGAAACAUCAUGUAAAACGGUUAGAUAUUGUCGGAUUAAAAGUGUUUGGCAAGAGAAUGAACAGUGUUAUUACCUUAUAUAGAGGUGAGCUAGGUCAUCCUGAUUGUGGGCUUUUUGCUCAGAGCCAUGGGUCAUCCUGAUUGUGGGCUGCUUUCUUUAAUCAACUGAACUGCGAGAAUAAUUGAUUCAAGUUUCAUUCUCAACCCCAAUUUACUGUUCUUGAAGAGAAAUUAGAUUGAUAGUUCAGUUGGUUAAACCUCGUUUGUUCUUCUUUUCUCGUUAUGAUAAACUCUAAUCAAUCAAACCACUCCACGAAUUCAAAAAAUAUGUUGUGGAUUCCACCACUAAGGAUAAACACAAAAAGAAAGAGAAACACUUUCUUUCAUUGAAGAUUACUGAUGAAUUAAUCAAAUCCCUCUGACUAAUUUCUCUUUUGACAUACGAUGGAUUGUAUCUUAGGGGAUUAACUCCUUACUAUUCCUCUUUGAGGUUUUAUCUUUCUAUCCUUUCGAUUUCGUGAAGAAAUACAUCCCAAGAGAUGCAUAGCCCGAUUUACAUGUAGUGAAAUUUUUGUGCAGUUACUAACUCUUUCUUGGUGGAAAUUACACUUUCAGAUUUGUUAUUUGAGGAUUAUACAGUUUGCAGUAAAAUCUCUUUGGAUAAAUAUCAUUUCUAUGUAUCUUUGACGUAUGCUAAGCCCAAUGACACUAUUUUGGGGAAAUUGAACUUCCGUUCGAUUUACAAGAGUGUUUCCACCAAUGUCACACUCGGCACCAAUUCUUCUGUAAGCAGUUUUUAAAUGAUUUUUUUAGAAAUUCAAUAAUAAAUAAUAAAUUUGCUUGCUUUAUUUAUUUGUUUGCUAGUUUCAGUUAGCUAUAAAGUCCUCAAUCCAACAAGUAGCUUGGGAUCUUAUGUUUGGUUUAUCGUGUGUGUCUCUCUCUCUCUCUCUAUUUGAUUCGGGUGUUCCAAAUUAUGUCAUCGUAAUCUACCAUAUCUUCCUGUUUUUCUAUUUUCUACAAUACUACAAUGGAUGUAUUUGAUCGGAUUUGAGGUUGCAAAAAUUAUUUGUUCAUUGAUCUCAAGAGAUCCUAUAGAAAUAAUGAAGUUGAGUUAUUGGUUUCAUUUAUAUCAUUUAACAUAAUAUUUUAUUAAUGUGAUCAUAUGUAUUCAUAGAUAUGAUUGUACUUAUUCGGUACAGGAUUUGUAGUGUUGAUUUAAUUCUUUUGAUCUAUUGAUUUUUGGUUUUGUUAUAUUUUGAAUUAGUUAUUGAUAUUCUGGUUUAGCUCCUUCCGCUUCAAUUUUCAUUUCCAAACCCUCAUCAAUUUACUGGCCAUAUCAUUUUUAUCUUUUUGAAUAGAAAUUAGAUUGAUACUCCAGUUGGUUAAAUCUUGCUUUGUUCUUCUUCUCGCUACAAUAAACUCUAUCACAAUUAAACACUCCAUGAAUUCGAAAAAAAUGUUGUUGAUUCCACCACAAAGGAUAAGCACAAGAAAUCAGAAGAAACACUUUCUUCCAUUGACAUGCGAUGGAUUGUAUCUUAGGGGAUUAACUUUUGAGGUUUUAUCUUACUAUAUUUCUUUAAGGUUUUAUCCUAUUAAUCCUCUGAUUUCAUAAAAAAAUAUCUCCCAAUAGAAGUUUUUUUUUUGCAUUAGAAUCUUUCAUUAACUGAUAGGAAGAUCACUUAGUCUGUUAUAUUUUUCCUUUAAAAAAAGAUAAGAAAUGGUUUCAAGUAUUCUGAUUGAUUAUUUUUUAAUUCAGAACUUUGUUUCUACACUAAAAUAGACAGAAAAAUCCAGAGGUAUAUAAGUUUUUCUUUACUAUAAUGAUAUUUUGUGCAUUCUUAUUUUCUUAAUAACUUGGAAAUUGCAAUCGCAGAUUUGUUGUCCGAGGACUAUACGGUUUACAGUAAAAUCUCUUUGGAUAAAUACACUUUUUCUAUUUCUUUGACUCAUGCUCAUCUCAAUGACAUUACUUUGGGGAAAUUGAACUACCAAUGGAUUUACAAGAGUGUGACAAAUGAACGCUAUAAAUUCAGUAAUGAAUUUGUUUGCUUGUUUUGUUGGCUAUCAAGUCCACUAUAAAAUAAGUUGAUUUAGGACUUACGCAUGGUCUAUCAUUUGUCUCUCUCUCUUUGAUCUCUAUAGUUCCAAAUUCAGGCAAGGUAUAGAUAGAGGUCCAGUUCAUGUAUGAUUUAUGCUGCUUUAAGCUCCCUAUGAUGGCCAUCAUCAUGAUCUUUUUCUCGAUGUGUAAAAAUACAUGCAUGAUACGAAUAACACAAUUUUUGAUAGGACAGGAUUCCUAUGAUGGCCAUCAUCGUCCACUGGAUUUUAAAUCAUCCCUAGGAUAUUACAUAUUACCAUAACCUAGAAAGUAUCGCAUAUAGCAAGGCCAACUACAAUUUAGAACUUGCUAGCCACUGCUUCGUGACAACUUUUUUGAGUUGAAACCUUUUUAAUGUAGCACACCGCACAUCCGUCCGGAUAUUUUUAUUUUAUAAAUGUAUAAUUUUGAUAUUAACAUAAAAGUUUUAAAUAUAUUAUUUACAUUUAAUGUUAUAUGUUAUGUAAUUUUAUAAUUUUAUUAUUUAGAUUUUUUAUUCGAUAUCGUUAAUAUAUAGUGAUUUAUUUUACAUAUUUUAUUUUAUUAUUAGUUUUUUUACUAAUAUGUGUUCAAGCUCGAUACAAUAAAUUUGUAAUCUGAAAUUAAUCAAAUAGAAAAUAUCUCUCAAUUUUUUUUAAAAUUGUUACAAUUCCCAUACAAUAUGUUUUAAAAUUUUAUUUAGUUAUAUUGCAGAAGCAAUAUUUGUUUAGGAUAAUUUAUAUAUGUAUGUUGUGUUUAAAAAAUAUAUUUUUAACAUCUAUCAUUUUAGUAUUUCACGAGAUUGUAUAAGUAAAUUCAUUGUUCUAUUUAAAUAAUAUAGCUCUAUUAUUUUAUUAAGUUUUAUACAUCGUAGCAUCUAUCAUAUUAUUUUGGUAAAUUUUAUCGAUAUAUAAUAUUUUGGAUAUUAUGAUAUUAAGUCUUUUGAUUUUUGUUAUUAAAUUAACAUUUUAAAUAUUGGAUAACUUUGAUUUUUACAACAUAUUUUGUUUUUGUUUUGUGUUGCAUAUCAAAGUAUUAAAAAGUUAAUAUAUUGUUGUAGAUAUAAAAUUUCAACAUAUGUUAAUAAUUUUAAUUUUUUUAUAAAAUAGUACAUGGUUUACGAAUGUUAACCCAAAGUGAUAAUUUAUUUAAAUGAAAGCCUUUAAAAGAUAAAAAUUGGUGCACAAAAACAAAUCAGAAAAAAACUAAAAUUAAAUUUUUAGAAAAAGGGACAAAGAGUAUAUAAUAGUCGGAGAAGGAGAGCGAGCCCUAGUUUCCCGAUCAUGGCGGCAAUUCUGAAAUCCGUCAAUUUUGCGCAGGUAACUCACGGUGGGAGAUCCAUUGCCCGCAAUUUCUCUUCGUACCGCAGAAGAAGAAGAAGCUAUGAGUCUAAGGGAAGAGGAAUAGGAAUAGUAGAUGUCUUAAUCCGAGGUGCAGGAGUCACUCUGGGUUGUUACUUUGGUUAUUUGUUCACUGGACACUGGAUACCAGAACUCGAGGAGAAACGGCAAGAGGUAAACCGGCAAAAGCGAAAUAAGAAUAAUCUAUAUAUAAUAGCAAACUAGAUUUUGUUGCCAGAUGACGUAAUCACUUUUUUAUAGGAAAAUAAAAUAUAAAUCUGACGGUAGAGUUUAUCCUGAAAAUAUAAUCCAAUGGAUAUGAUUUUAUGAGAAGAUGAAGCUAUGACGUCAUUGAUUUGUUAUACCGAUCGACGUCUUCAUCCAACAAAUUCACACCGAUACAAAGGCACCUCUUAAACAAGUCAUCUUCCACUAAGAAUCACAUUUUUUCAGUUUUAUAUAUUGAAGGUGUGUCUUAGACAAUUCAUCUUCCUGUAAGAGUUGCAUCUUUUCAGUUUUAUAUAUUGAAGGUGUCUCUUAAACAAUUCAUCUUCCUCUAAGAGUUACAUCUUUUCAAUGUUAUAUAUUGAAGGAAUUGUAUAGGUUGUUAGAUUGAUCUGAGGUUUCUCCCAUUAUUUUGUUUGUUUCUUAUAUCUCUCUUUCUGGAUUUUUAAUUUUUUUGUUGUUGCAGUCCUUUGCAGACGAUCUUCUUUUCUGUACUCUCUCUCAUUUUCAGAUUAUUCUCUCUCACAUUCUGGCCAUGUUGAGUUUAUGUAUUUUCCAGUCUAUUUCUCUACAAGUAUUGUCUAGGAUGAGUUUCUGAAUAUCUAUAGAAACCACAAUUCAAUACAAGUCAUUCAUUCGCUCUAUCAUAAUAGCGAGAAGUGUAUGUAGGAUCCACAACUAAGAACUCAAUCAUUCGCUCAAUACCGAUAAGUUGCGUCUCGACUCUCGAUCAAGGUGUUGUCGGCUUAGUUUCUGCAAUUAUUGUCAAACUGUGCAAAAAAAAAAAAACAGGUCACUUCAGUGCUGCUGCCCUUAAUAAUCUCGUCACAUGCACACCAUUAGCCAUACUAAUGUUCAUUUUGGAUCAAGAAUGUGAAUCACAAAGGGAAGUAAUGAAUUGAAGAUGGUAACAUAAUCGGUGUAGAUGGUAAUAUGAAGCUGAUUUUGUACCUUGGUUCAAGAGAUUCGAAUGGAGGUUCACGCUGGUCUGUAGCCUUUGUCUCCGAAACUGAUUCGUCCGACAGUGCCAAUGACACGUCCGAAACAUAUUGAAAAAGAGUUUGCGGCGAUUUUAGAUUUUUAGCUCGACUUGUCCAUCGCCAUGGGUCUUCACACCAAGCCCGAGAAUGCCAUUCACGGAUUGACGGUUCAGGAAAAAGCCAGUCUCUCUGACCGCAGCAUCAUCACAAACAAGGAGUCAGUUCUUUUGACAUAUCCUUGAUUGCCUCAGGUUCUCAAACAGCAGGAUAGCUGACGGAGCCGUGCAUGAGUCUUAAGUGAGACAAAAGACAUAGACUUUUGUGCAUGUCUAGAUAACAUUUCAUAUUCA